rnacentral:rRNA from 1 species
AUUCAUUUUCUGCCACCGAAUACAUUAGCAUGGGAUAAUGGAAUAGGACCCUGUCCUCCUAUUUUCAGUUGGUUUUGGCAGCGCGAGGACUAGGGUAAUGAUUAAUAGGGAUAGUUGGGGGCAUUAAUAUUUAAUUGUCAGAGGUGAAAUUCUUGGAUUUAUGAAAGAUUAACUUCUGCGAAAGCAUCUGCCAAGGAUGUUUUCAUUAAUCAAGAACGAAAGUUAGGGGAUCGAAGACGAUCAGAUACCGUCGUAGUCUUAACCAUAAACGAUGCCGACCAGCGAUUAGGAGACGUUGAAUACAAAACACCACCAUCGGCGCGGUCGCCCUUGGCGUUCGUGUUCACGCACGGGCGCGAGGGCGGCUUAGCCCGAUGGCACCGGUGAAUGACUCCCCAGCAGCUU